rnacentral:tRNA from 1 species
GUAACUGUGGCUCAGUGAGUAGGGUGCUGGCCUCAUAUACCAAGGGUGAUGGGUUCAAACCCAUCUGCAACA